rnacentral:rRNA from 1 species
AGGACGAACGCUGGCGGCGUGCCUAACACAUGCAAGUCGAACGAGGUCCAACCGGUGGCAACACUGGUGAAGACCGAGUGGCGAACGGGUGAGUAACACGUGAGCAACCUGCCUCGAAGACUGGGAUAACCCCGGGAAACCGGAGCUAAUACCGGAUACCCCCACCGGGUCGCAUGGCCUGGUGAGGAAAUGGAUUCCGCUUUGAGAGGGGCUCGCGGCCUAUCAGCUUGAUGGUGGGGUAAUGGCCUACCAUGGCACCGACGGGUAGCUGGUCUGAGAGGACGAUCAGCCACACUGGGACUGAGACACGGCCCAGACUCCUACGGGAGGCAGCAGUGGGGAAUCUUGCGCAAUGGGCGAAAGCCUGACGCAGCAACGCCGCGUGUGGGACGAAGGCCUUCUGGGUUGUAAACCACUUUCAGCAGGGACGAUUGUGACGGUACCUGCAGAAGAAGCCCCGGCCAACUACGUGCCAGCAGCCGC